UACGUAGGGUGCAAGCGUUGUCCGGAAUUAUUGGGCGUAAAGAGCGUGUAGGCGGCCCGAUUAGUCCGCUGUGAAAGUCCAGGGCUCAACCCUGGAAUGCCGGUGGAUACUGUCGGGCUAGAGUCCGGAAGGGGCGAGUGGAAUUCCUGGUGUAGCGGUGAAAUGCGCAGAUAUCAGGAGGAACACCGGUGGCGAAGGCGGGUCUCUGGGCCGAUACUGACGCUGGAGGAGCGAAAGCGUGGGGAGCGAACAGG
rnacentral:rRNA from 1 species